UACGUAGGCAGCAAGCGUUGUUCGGAGUUACUGGGCGUAAAGGGUGUGUAGGCGGUUCUUAAGUUUGGUGUGAAAUCUCCCGCUUAACCGGGAGGGUGCGCCGAAUACUGAGGGACUAGAGUACGGGAGAGGAAAGUGGAAUUCCUGGUGUAGCGGUGAAAUGCGUAGAUAUCAGGAGGAACACCUGUGGCGAAAGCGGCUCACUGGACCAUUACUGACGCUGAAACACGAAAGCUAGGGGAGCAAACAGG
rnacentral:rRNA from 1 species